rnacentral:rRNA from 1 species
GAUGAACGCUAGCGGCAGGCUUAACACAUGCAAGUCGAGGGGCAACACGGGUAGCAAUACCUGGUGGCGACCGGCGCAAGGGUGCGUAACGCGUGAGCAACAUGCCCUAUACAGGGGGAUAAUCCAGGGAAACUUGGUCUAAUAUCCCAUAGUAUUUAGAGGUGGCAUCACCACUAAAUUAAAGCUUCGGUGGUAUAGGAUUGGCUCGCGUGACAUUAGCUGGAUGGUGGGGUAACGGCUCACCAUGGCGAUGAUGUCUAGGGGUUCUGAGAGGAAGACCCCCCACACUGGGACUGAGACACGGCCCAGACUCCUACGGGAGGCAGCAGUGAGGAAUAUUGGACAAUGGAUGGAAAUCUGAUCCAGCCAUGCCGCGUGCAGGAAGACGGCCCUAUGGGUUGUAAACUGCUUUUUAUAUGGGAGCAAUAAGGUUUACGCGUAGACCGAUGAGAGUACCAUAUGAAUAAGCAUCGGCUAACU